UAUAUAUACACACAUAUAUAUAUAUAUAUACACACACAUACACACACUGAAAUAUUUAAGGUCACAUCAAUAUAUUUUGGAUAUGUGAAAAUUAUACACAGAAGGAACAGUAUAGCCAGUUCCUUAUUCAUUUUUUUUAUGAAUCAAGUAAAUGAAUCAUUUUUAACCAUAUCCAGGGUGCAGCCAAAGUACAUAAUUGCUUGCCUAUAAUGACAUUCAUUGUUAGUAUUCAUGCAACAUUUCCUCUUCAUAUAUAUACAAAGUAUAGUUUGAAACUGUAUUUUCUGAUUUUAUUUAAAUGUGUUGCUGCAUUUUAUAAUCUUUAUCAUCAGAGAUCCAGAAAAUAGGACACAUGAUACUUCUUGACUUAAUGUAAUCAAAUCCAUUUGAAGGGCCAAUUAUAAAUUUUAAAACUAAUAUAGAGUGCAGUAAAGUGUGUCGAUGUAUCUGUCAUACCUAAUAACCAGAGUUCCCUAACAAGCCAAAUUUUUCAUGAAAUAUUUAAAUUUUCAAAAUAAUUCUGAUGAGAGUUUUUAUUCUACAGUAUUACAUAAAAUUACAAUUAUCAGUCAAAACUAAAACAAAAUUGUAAAACCUAACCUAUUCAAACCUAAGACAGUAAUUCAUGUUCCUAAUAUAACUGAUUAUCAUUGUUAAAAAAAUCAAUCUGGAAAAAUAUAUUUGAAAAUAAUACAAAUUAUUUGGCCUGUUAGGCAAACAGACCUUGCAUACUAGGCCAAGUAGUGCAGUUCUGGCUAUUAGGUACAACAUAGCCUUGCUGUGCCAAACACUUGCUACCUAACGAGUGUACAGCACCAGCAAUCAGCGAGCAAACGGAACCCACAGCCAGUGAGUAAUUACCCAAGUGUAGUUACACGAGAGCUACGCUCGUGGUGUCCUGUCUUCCCAGUACUCAUGUUGUCAUGUGAUGCUUUGAAACUGCUGAUGGUUUUGGCCUCUUCACUUAACUUGUUCCAGUAGUCUACCACUUUUUCUAAAGAGAACUGUCUAAUAUUCUUCCAGCACCUUUGUUUCCUUAGCUUAAAUCUAUGAUUCUCUCUCUUUUUGAAGCUGCAAGUUUCAAGAGUUAUUUGUCAAUUUUGUUGAUUCCCGUUACCUUUUUUUGUAUGCAGUGAUCAUAUUCUUACAUCGCACCACCUAGUGAGCAUGUGACACCAGCAUUGUUUUACUGUGAAAAUUAUAAUGUUGCAGAGUAUUUGACAAGAGUACUACUGCUGGCUUGCAUUGGAAAAGCAGUACCAUACAGUAUUAUUACCAUUGAAUAAUGUUACAUACGGAGGGACUUGUUAAUUGUUUUUAUAAUAUUUAUUUAUGAAAAAUAUUUCUGGCAAACUUUGUUUUACUUUGAUAAAAUAAAUUAGUACAAGAUA